GCGGGAAUUGCCAAGUAUGGUUAAAGGCGCUGGACACUGGAUCCAGUCUCGUAGGAGUUCGGGGGUUCAAAUCCCUCUUCCCGCA
rnacentral:tRNA from 1 species